rnacentral:rRNA from 1 species
UGGGGAAUAUUGCACAAUGGGGGAAACCCUGAUGCAGCGACGCCGCGUGAGCGAAGAAGUACUUCGGUAUGUAAAGCUCUGUCAGCAGGGAAGAUAAUGACGGUACCUGACCAAGAAGCCCCGGCUAACUACGUGCC